rnacentral:lncRNA from 1 species
UCACAGUAUUCCUGUGCUAUAAAUAAGACAUUUGCUUCUUUGUAGUUAAAGACUUAGAGAUGCAAGAAGUUGCCGACUCAGAAGUAAGCAGGGGCUGAGUUGAGAUAUAAGACAGUUCUGUGUGUUUCUUUUCAUAGUGUGAUCGAUGUGCCGGUGUCUUACAUGUUGCUUCUUCCUGCACUCUAGGCCUCUCCUCUUCACCCCCUCGUGGACCACCAUUGCCAGCUAAACAAAGGCGGUGAAUCUUCGUCCUGAUCCAUUGUCCUUCUGAGACCCAUAAUGAGCUCACCAGUACAGCCCGGAUUUCUUUAUUUCAGCAGAACUUUGCUGCACUGAUUGUUGAUACUCCCCCUCCUCUUCAGAAAACUCCUCAGCUGCCAUUCUCUGAUGCUCAGCCAGAAGUUGCUGAAGUUCCUCUGGAGACAAUUCCUUGACUAUUCCUCCACCAGUUCCUCAACAUCAUCACUGUCUACCUGUCUGUGAAUUCUGCUAUAGUGACGGUGUCAUCAACCUCAGGGCCAGUUGAAGGCUCAGGCUCCCCU